rnacentral:rRNA from 1 species
AAGUUAUUCUUGAUAAGAGACUGAGCGGCGGACGGGUGAGUAACGCGUGGGUACCUGCCUCAUACAGGGGGAUAACAGUUAGAAAUGACUGCUAAUACCGCAUAAGGUCGCAUGACAAAAACUCCGGUGGCAUGAGAUGGACCCGCGUCUGAUUAGCUAGUUGGUGGGGUAAUGGCUCACCAAGGCGACGAUCAGUAGCCGACCUGAAGGGUGACCGGCCACAUUGGGACUGAGACACGGCCCAAACUCCUACGGGAGGCAGCAGUGGGGAAUAUUGCACAAUGGGCGAAAGCCUGAUGCAGCGACGCCGCGUGAAGGAUGAAGUAUUUCGGUAUGUAAACUUCUAUCAGCAGGGAAGAAAAUGACGGUACCUGACUAAGAAGCCCCGGCUAACUACGUGCCAGCAGCCGCGGUAAUACGUAGGGGGCAAGCGUUAUCCGGAUUUACUGGGUGUAAAGGGAGCGUAGACGGCAUGGCAAGUCUGAAGUGAAAGCCCGGGGCUCAACCCCGGGACUGCUUUGGAAACUGUCAGGCUAGAGUGCUGGAGAGGUAAGUGGAAUUCCUAGUGUAGCGGUGAAAUGCGUAGAUAUUAGGAGGAACACCAGUGGCGAAGGCGGCUUACUGGACAGUAACUGACGUUGAGGCUCGAAAGCGUGAGGAGCAAACAGGAUUAGAUACCCUGGUAGUCCACGCCGUAAACGAUGACUACUAGGUGUCGG